CGGCUUGAUGGUCGGGUCCUUGAACUUGCCCAUGUCGGCGGCGGCGAGGUCGCGCGCGAUGCCGUGCACGCCGGUGCAGUCCUGCCGGUUCGGC
rnacentral:tRNA from 1 species